rnacentral:pre_miRNA from 1 species
UUGGUUUAAAUUACAGUGGAUCUACACUUUGAAAAUAGAACUCAUACAAAGUGGUGCGACAUACAUUAAUUUUAUUCAA